ACGAAAGUCUGACCGAGCAACGCCGCGUGAGUGAAGAAGGUUUUCGGAUCGUAAAGCUCUGUUGUAAGUCAAGAACGUGUGUGAGAGUGGAAAGUUCACACAGUGACGGUAGCUUACCAGAAAGGGACGGCUAACUACGUGCCAGCAGCCGCGGUAAUACGUAGGUCCCGAGCGUUGUCCGGGUUUAUUGGGCGUAAAGGGAGCGCAGGCGGUCAGGAAAGUCUGGAGUAAGAGGCUAUGGCUCAACCAUAGUGUGCUCUGGAAACUGUCUGACUUGAGUGCAGAAGGGGGGAGUGGAAUUCCAUGUGUAGCGGUGAAAUGCGUAGAUAUAUGGAGGAACACCAGUGGCGAAAGCGGCUCUCUGGUCUGUCACUGACGCUGAGGCUCGAAAGCGUGGGUAGCGAACAGGAUUAGAUACCCUGGUAGUCCACGCCGUAAACGAUGAGUGCUAGGUGUUAGGCCCUUUCCGGGGCUUAGUGCCGGAGCUAACGCAAUAAGCACUCCGCCUGGGGAGUACGACCGCAAGGUUGAAACUCAAAGGAAUUGACGGGGGCCCGCACAAGCGGUGGAGCAUGUGGUUUAAUUCGA
rnacentral:rRNA from 1 species